CAGUAGCCACGGUAAUACGGAGGGAGCUAGCGUUGUUCGGAAUUACUGGGCGUAAAGCGCACGUAGGCGGCUUUGUAAGUUAGAGGUGAAAGCCUGGAGCUCAACUCCAGAAUUGCCUUUAAGACUGCAUCGCUUGAAUCCAGGAGAGGUGAGUGGAAUUCCGAGUGUAGAGGUGAAAUUCGUAGAUAUUCGGAAGAACACCAGUGGCGAAGGCGGCUCACUGGACUGGUAUUGACGCUGAGGUGCGAAAGCGUGGGGAGCAAACAGGAUUAGAUACCCGAGUAGUCACUGUCUCUUAUAU
rnacentral:rRNA from 1 species